GACGAACGCUGGCGGCGUGCUUAACACAUGCAAGUCGAACGUGAUUUUUGUGGAAAUUCUUUCGGGAAUGGAAAUGAAAUGAAAGUGGCGAACGGGUGAGUAACACGUGAGCAACCUACCUUACACAGGGGGAUAGCCGUUGGAAACGACGAUUAAUACCGCAUGAGACCACAGAAUCGCAUGAUAUAGGGGUCAAAGAUUUAUCGGCGUAAGAAGGGCUCGCGUCUGAUUAGCUAGUUGGAAGGGUAAAGGCCUACCAAGGCGACGAUCAGUAGCCGGUCUGAGAGGAUGAACGGCCACAUUGGAACUGAGACACGGUCCAAACUCCUACGGGAGGCAGCAGUGGGGAAUAUUGCACAAUGGGGGGAACCCUGAUGCAGCGACGCCGCGUGGGCGAAGAAGGUUUUCGAAUCGUAAAGCUCUGUCCUAUGAGAAGAUAAUGACGGUAUCAUAGGAGGAAGCCCCGGCUAAAUACGUG
rnacentral:rRNA from 1 species